GCUACAGCCUGAACUCAAUCUAUCUUACCCCAGAAAGGAGAAAGGAGGAUCAGUCAACGUGGUUAUAAGAUAUUCUACCCGGUCAUAAGCUUAGCUCCAGACCACUCUGGCAUUGUUAUGGGUCGUGGAAAUCCCUUCAUGUGAGUCAAGCCAAAUUGGCUACAACUGACUUGAGUUUAACAUGGUACACCAGAAAAUACCAGAUAGCAGCUGUCUCCCUGGAAACAGAGGACAUACAAUGGACAGUGUCUCAGUGGACACACCCAAGGCAGCUCAGUGGACAGCCUGGCUGAAUGUUACUCAUUGUUCACUGAUGUAUGAAGUAUAUUUAAUCAAUGUGAAGAAAGUGAUAUUAAACUAUUAUCAGCUACCUCAAAUGUUCUAAAAAUCUCCCAAGAAAGGUCAAGAGGCAAGAAACUAAGGCAAAAAUGAGUUAGUGGCAGUUGGGACCAAGAUCCAGUUUCUGGGACUCCAUGACCUCCUUCGUGUUCACUCAUUAAAAAAUAACAUCAUAUAAAUAAAUGAGUGAAUGAAUGCA
rnacentral:lncRNA from 1 species